rnacentral:tRNA from 1 species
UGCAUCGGCCGGGAAUCGAACCCUGGCCGCCCGCGUGACGGGCAAGCAUUCUACCACUGAACCACCGGUGC